ACUUCCAGCAGGGCCCCGACCCCAAGGGCCCAGCCUGGGGCAGGAAGGGUACAAAGCCCCCGCCGCGGCUCUGCCACGAGGUCUCCUGGAAAUGAGGGGAACAGCACAGCGACGUCCCUGUGUCCUAAAUGCGUCCACUGAUAGCCGUUUUUCACCACACAGGCUUGGCAAAAUCUCUGCGUCACUGAACAGCAUUUUAACCUCUUGAAUGAGAUGCCUCCGACCUUUUGGAUCCUCUUUCUGCACCUCUCAGGGGACAGGUCCCGUCUGUACGGCGCUGCCUACGAGAAACCCAAGUUCAUUACUGCAGCCAAAGGAAAGGUGCAGGCAGUGGGAGGCUCCUGCAAGGUGAUGCGUCUGGCCAUGAGUCCCACCACCUUCUCCCACCUGCUGGCCUGUGCCCAGCAGUUCCGGAAGCAGACCCAGGCCCAGGUGUACAGCGAGGACAUGGCCCUGAACACAGACUCGGAGCCAGAAGGCCUGCAGGUGGAAGAGAAGGAGCGCCCUGUGCAGAGGCUCAGCAGCGUUCUGGGGCCCCUGGAGGAGCUUCUGAAGCCGCUCU
rnacentral:sRNA from 1 species